AGAGUUUGAUCCUGGCUCAGGACGAACGCUGGCGGCGUGCUUAAUACAUGCAAGUCAAGGAGAACGGAGUUCUUCGGAAUUCCUAGUAAACUGGCGAACGGGUGAGUAACACGUAGGCAACCUGCCUCUGGAUUGGGGAUAACUCUGCUAAAGCGGAGCUAAUACCGGAUGUUGUUUUUUUACUGCAUAGUAGAAAAAUGAAAGUUGACUUAUUUUAUAGGUUAGCGUCCAGAGAGGGGCCUGCGCCCCAUUAGUUUGUUGGUGAGGUAACGGCUCACCAAGACUGCGAUGGGUAGCCGGCCUGAGAGGGUGUACGGCCACACUGGGACUGAGAUACGGCCCAGACUCCUACGGGAGGCUGCAGUAAGGAAUAUUGCGCAAUGGCCGAAAGGCUGACGCAGCAACGCCGCGUGGGUGAUGAAGCUCCAAGGAGCGUAAAGCCCUGUUAGGAGGGAAGAACUACAAUGAUGUAAAUAAUGUCAUUGUUUGACGGUACCUCCAGAGAAAGCCCCGGCUAACUCCGUGCCAGCAGCCGCGGUAAUACGGGGGGGGCAAGCGUUGUCCGGAAUUAUUGGGCGUAAAGGGCGCGUAGGUGGAUUAGCAAGUCAGAGGUGAAAACCACAGGCUUAACUUGUGGCCUGCCUUUGAAACUGCUUUUCUUGAGUGCGGAAGAGGAAAGUGGAAUUCCUGGUGUAGCGGU
rnacentral:rRNA from 1 species